UAGAGCGGCGGACGGGUGAGUAACACGUGGACAAUCCGUGCCCCCCGGCCCGGGAUAGCCCCAGGGAAACCUGGAUUAAUACCGGAUGAGACGGGACCCGCGAUGGCGGGAUCCGGGAAAGGCGCUGCGGCGCCGCCGGGGGGAUGAGUCUGCGUCCCAUUAGCUAGACGGCGGGUAACGGCCCACCGUGGCGACGAUGGGUAGCCGGCCUCGAGAGGGUGGACGGCCACAUUGGAACUGAGACACGGUCCAGACUCCUACGGGAGGCAGCAGCUAAGAAUCUUCCGCAAUGGGCGAAAGCCUGACGGAGCGAACCGCCGCGUGAACGAAGAAGGCCGUGAGGUUGUAAAGUUCUUUUCGGGAGGGGGAACAACCGUGGCAGGGAAUUGGCCGCGGGAUGACGUGAAUCCCGGAAUAAGCCCCGGCUAACUACGUGCCAGCAGCAGC
rnacentral:rRNA from 1 species